rnacentral:rRNA from 1 species
UACGUAGGGGGCAAGCGUUGUCCGGAUUUAUUGGGCGUAAAGAGCGUGUAGGCGGCCAGGUAGGUCAGCUGUGAAAACUCGAGGCUCAACCUCGAGACGCCGGUUGAAACCAUCUGGCUAGAGUCCGGAAGAGGAGAGUGGAAUUCCACGUGUAGCGGUGAAAUGCGUAGAUAUGUGGAGGAACACCAGUGGCGAAGGCGACUCUCUGGUCUGUAACUGACGCUGAGGCGCGAAAGCGUGGGGAGCAAACAGG